rnacentral:rRNA from 1 species
UACGAAGGGGGCUAGCGUUGUUCGGAAUUACUGGGCGUAAAGCGCACGUAGGCGGAUACUUAAGUCAGGGGUGAAAUCCCGGGGCUCAACCCCGGAACUGCCUUUGAUACUGGGUAUCUCGAGUCCGGAAGAGGUGAGUGGAAUUCCGAGUGUAGAGGUGAAAUUCGUAGAUAUUCGGAGGAACACCGGUGGCGAAGGCGGCAUCCUGGACCGGUAUUGACGCUGAGGCGCGAAAGCCAGGGGAGCAAACGGG